rnacentral:rRNA from 1 species
AGAGUUUGAUCAUGGCUCAGAACGUACGCUGGCGGCACGCCUAACACAUGCAAGUCGAACGCAGUAGCAAUACUGAGUGGCAGACGGGUGAGUAUAAUGUGGGAAUCUGCCUUUUGGUUUGGAAUAACACGGGGAAACUUGUGCUAAUACCGAAUAAGCCCUUACGGGGAAAGUUUUAACGCCGAAAGAUGAGCCUGCACUUGAUUAGCUAGUUGGUAAGGUAAAGGCUUACCAAGGCAACGAUCAAUAGCUGUUCUUAGAGGAAGACCAGCCACAUUGGGACUGAGACACGGCCCAGACUCCUACGGGAGGCAGCAGUGGGGAAUCUUGCACAAUGGGGGAAACCCUGAUGCAGCGAUGCCGCGUGAGUGAAGAAGGCCCUUGGGUUGUAAAACUCUUUCGUCGGGGAAGAAAAUGACUGUACCCGAAUAAGAAGGUCCGGCUAACUUCGUGCCAGCAGCCGCGGUAAUACGAAGGGACCUAGCGUAGUUCGGAAUUACUGGGCUUAAAGAGCUCGUAGGUGGUUAAAAAAGUUGAUGGUGAAAUCCCAAGGCUCAACCUUGGAACUGCCAUCAAAACUUUUUAGCUAGAGUGUGAUAGAGGUAAGUGGAAUUUCUAGUGUAGAGGUGAAAUUCGUAGAUAUUAGAAAGAACACCAAAUGCGAAGGCAACUUACUGGGUCACUACUGACACUGAGGAGCGAAAGCAUGGGUAGCGAAGAGGAUUAGAUACCCUCGUAGUCCAUGCCGUAAACGAUGUGUGCUAGAC